CAAUACAAUUAUUGCGCACUCUAAAAAUUUCGGAUGUGGAUUAUUACUCGACUUGUCGACUCUGAUGAUACGCCACGGAGAGGCACGCGGUCGGUGACCAGAGGCCGACCUUCCUCCCCUCUCCGAUUGAAUGAAAGCUGAUAAUCGGAACCCCACCCUUUUUUCCUCAGAAUGCGAGACGCGUACACGCGCACGCACACACUCUCUCUCUCCUAUGAUGAGGUAAUUGAUCGAGGCUUUUUUGGCCGUGGAACUUGCAGCAGUUCUUCUGCUAAUAGUUCUCCGGUCUCCGACGCGAGAUCCGAAAUGCGACUGAGGCUGUGAUGAUGAUAAUGGCGAAGAGGAAGAGGACCCUUUUUGCUGCUCCAGGUGCAUGCAGCCUUGUGUCCCACAAAACUAGAAUGCCGGGCAAGUUAAUCUUGGCGUGGCGGCUCUUAGAGUGAGCUGCAGCCAUGGCGGGGCUACCUACCGCUGGUUCUUUCUAUUUGCCCGAAAGAACAGAAAAGGAAAACCCUAAUUUUGAUCGCUGAGCCUCUCCGAUUGAGCCUCGAGGAAAAGCCCUAAUUUUAUCCGUUCACCUUAUGGGGUCGUUUGGUUGCCCCCGCAGCUUUUUAUAGGUGCGGACAUGCAAAAUGAUAGAUAGAUAGAUAGAUAGAUAGACAGACAGACAGACAGACAGACAAGUCUUGAGGGCAACUGUGGUUGCCCACCGGCGAAAUCAAUAUACUGAGGUUCAGGGCUAUUGUAAUGAUUGUCUGAAUGAAAUAUCGAUAUUUGAGGGAAAAUUCUCGAGAACUGUCCGUAUCUUGGCUCGGCGAUUCCGGUGUGUAUCGCAGCCAUGGCGGGGUUCCAUUGUGGAGUCCUCUCUUUGCCUGUGAACAGGCAGGAAUCUUCGAAAGGCCUAACAAUUUGCUUGGAUACGCCUCUUUCGAUAUGAACCUCCUUUUGCUGCUUUUAAGUGAGGCAAGAAACUGCAGGUUCGGCACCUUGAAGCAGAAUCAUAAUAUAUUUGUUUACUCCUCUAUGACUGGUUGAAAGCUGCGGCUUUGCUCCUAGAGAAGCUGGUGGAAUUUUGCUUGCAUCGAGUUUGCCCUUCUCUGGUUGCUAGCUUAGCUGAUGUAUCCUAGGACUCUUGAUUUCUUAAGCUUUGACAUUUCAAUGCUCGCUAUCCCCGAUGACAGAAGUUACUUUUCAUCAGGCAUACGAUGACCAUGGCUACUGCCAUAAUGAUGAUUAUAUUUCUGAGGGGAGCUCUGUACUUGAAUGGCGGUACCAGCAGCAACAGCAGUGGUAGGUAGUACUGAAUAUGGAGAAGUGCUAUAAUGCAAUUGGUUUUUUUCCUCUAUUAAUGGCGGAAGGAUGCAGCUUUGCUCCUAGAGAAGCUGGUAAUAUGCUUUCCCAGCAAGGGGGAGUGACUAUCUUAGAGUACUAGCAAGAUUACUAGUAAUGUAUGACAUUACCAGUCCAUACCAAAAAUGAUAAUGAGCAUUACCAGUGAUUUCAAAAGUGGUAAUCUUAUCUCAGUGGGAAUGUUAGCUUGCGUUUGGUUUUCGAGUUGAAUUAGUGAUCCAAGUAUCAGUAAGUAUCAGUCUUCUACAUACAAAUUUUGGCUAUUGUGCAUUAGUACGUUUCCUUCGGCAACAACACUCCCCAACCUAGCCUUAUUAAGAAACAUGCAUGAACUAGAAGUUGAUGCUUAAGGCAAAAGAUUAAGGAAUAAGAAGGGGCGAUGAGGAUUUGUGGAGAAGGAAAGUUUGAAAUGUUUUGCAGUCACAAAGAACUGUGCAUAGCUUGGCAUGGUGGCUCUAAAAGCUGCAGCCAGUGCAGGGUUUCUUCAUAUGGCUGAUGAUCAGAUGAAAAUCUGAGCCUCAGUUGACUAUUGAGAGAUACAAGAUCGGCGAUUUGUUUAAAAUUUGUUUUGUGAAAACCUACUCAUUUUGAUAUUUCACCAGAUCUAUCUGAUAAGGGAAAAACUAUUUUGUUUUUUCGUAUUUCACCAGAUCUACCUCUCUGUAGAAUGUUAAGCCCUGCCUCUUCUCCCACCCCCCCCCCCCCCCCCCCCUUCUCUCAAACUGGCUCUCUUCUCUCUGCUAAUGUCCUUAAGUUUCUGUGCUGCUUCACGUUGUUGCUUGGUGGCUACUGAACUUAAUACUUGACGGCUUAAACCUCUUCUUCUGUCUCUUAUCAUUCUCGGCAAUCUCUGAUUUGCAAUGCAACUUCUUCUGCCUUUGCAGGCAUUCUGUCAUUUGCCAGGUGAAGUGAGGAAGUGAUUAUUUUCAUUAAAGGAUUUAUCAUUUAUAAAUAUCUGGCCUAAUUAGUGAUUUCUGGCACAGACAAUCAUCCCUAGCUUGGCAUGGUGGCUUGAAUAGCUGCAGCCAUGUGGGGCUCCUUAUUUUUCUUAAUCAGAAGUUGAAUAUAAGCCUCUGUAACCGAGCGCUACUCUUUGCUGGCAUAGACUAACUAGGCAAUGCUACAUUCUGAAAAUGGUAGCCACUAAAAUCAACUUUCUUUGAUCAACAGUUGGCGCUGAUGAUUUCUUCCCGAUUUGGUUUUCAAGAUCUAUCAGUUUUUCUGGUCACCAUAGACUGGAGGAGCAAUACAAGUAGAAGCUAGAAGAAGAUACUUCCUUGUACUAAAUGGAACUAUCGUAUCAAAAGGAGAGUCCAACUAAAUUGCAUGCCAGAAUCCAUGUAUAUUUGAAUCCAUCAUGAUAGAACUCUCUUUGCGCUGAGCCCCUUUAGAAAUGCCUCUGCUACAUUGAUGAUCACUUCAUUAUCAUUUUACUGCCCUGCAGAAACUAGAAGCUGAUGCUUCAGGUGAAAGAUUUAAGGUUGUGUUUGAUUUUAGAGUUGAGUUUUGGUUUUAAUUGGUUUGUAAUGAUUGUGUUGUUGAAUUAUAAGAAAAAGUGUGAAAAAGUAAUGAAUAUUUGAGAGAAAGUAAUGAUUGUGUUGUUGAAUUGCGGAAAAAAUAAUGAAUAGUCGAGAGAAUUUAGUAUUAAAAAUUGAAUUGAAUGGUUAAAAAAAUUGAAGAAAAAGGGUUAGUAAUAAUUGUGUUGUUGAAUUGAUGGUGAGUGGAGUAGAGUUAAAAAUUUUUUUUGUAAUCCAACAGGCUCUAACAUGUAGAGUGUGGAAAAGGAAAAGGUCAGAAAAUUUGCAGGCAAAGUGAACUGUCUGUUGCUUGGCGUGGUGGCCGUGAAGGGCUGCAGCCAGGUCUGCAUUCGCUUUAGAUGACUGAUGAUUAGUUGCAAAUCUGAGCCUCAGUCAACUGCUGAAAAUUCAGAUCUGUGAUUUCUUGAAAAUUUGUUUUACCAAAACCUCGAAUUUCAAACUUUCACCAGCUUUUCUGGGAAGGGAGAUCAAGAUGAUAUGAAAUAGCAAAGGUUAUACGGACAAGAUUUGUUUCUUCAAAUCUCUCUCUCUCUCUACGCAAUGAUGAGGAAAUUGAUUGAGGCACGGUUUGGUCGUGGAACUUACAGCAGUUCUUCUGCUAAUAGUUAUCUGGUCUCCGACGCGACAUCCGAAAUGCAACAAGGCUGUGAUGAUAAUUCCGAAGAACAAGAGGAGCUUUUUGCUGCUUCAGUGCAUGCAGCCUAGUAUCCCAUAAAACAAAAUGCUGGAAGGGUUGAUCUUGGCGUGGCGGCUCUUAGAGCAUUCUGUCAUUUGCCAGGUGAAGUGAAACAUGGCGACAAUUUUCCUUAUAGGGUUUGUCAUUUAUAGAUAUCUGAUACAUCAGUUUUUCUGGUCACCAGAGACUGGAGGAACAAUACAAGUAGAAGCUAGAAGAAGAUACUUGUAGUAAAUGGGACUAUUGUGUCAAAACGAGAGUCCAACUAAAUUGCAUGCCGGAAUCCAUGUUGCAUAUUUGAAAGAGAAACUAGAAGCUGAUGCUCCAGGUGAAAGAUUUAAAGAUAUGAAGGGGCAGUGGAAAAGAAAAGGUUGGAAAAUUUGUAGGCAAAGUGGCUGUAGCUUGGCAUGGCGGCCGUGAUGGAGCCAGGAGAUGCUUCUGUUAAAACAUUGGUCUGCAUCAUUGAUGUCAUCCUCAUACUCUACUCAGUAGAGGGGAACGUGAUGACUGGUACAACUGAGAUCACUGAGGCAUUUAAAUUUUGAGAAAUUAUUGCUUCAUAACGUCGGUUUAGCCACUAGCCACAGUUUGGGCAGCCAACUGUGCAGAGAGCCUCAGCAUGUAUGCCAUGUAGCCGAAGCUCCCCAAAUGUACUAUAUACUUAAGCAUAUGCUGCUGCAUUCUGUGAUGAAAGUGAAGAGGCAGUGCGGAUUUGUUCGCAUGUUUUACAGGCAGAAAGGACCGCCUCUUGCUUGGCGUGGCAGCACUCAGUUAAGCAGCAGAUAUGACAGGCUUCCUUCAGUUUGUCUGAUAAAUAUCAAAUCUGAGCCUUGGUAAUUAGAGAUUCCCCUUGUUUGGCCCAAAGGAAGGGAGCAAUAUGAAUUACUGAAGUGCCUCCUUGAGGUUUCUGAGUUUUUCUUCUUCAACUUGUCUGUUUAAGAAUGAAUAUUCGAACAUUGUAAGUUCGGAGAGCUGCCUGUGGUGGCUUAGUAAAGCCAGAGCCAAUGUGGGCUUCUCUCAGUUUGCCUGAUUGAAGGGGAAUCUGAGCCAACCGCCUUUCAUGCUGCUUCUUGUUUUGCUUGGAUUCAUUCAACGUUGAAGCUUGCUGGAUUCAUGGUUUUAAUUUUAGUUGAUCCUGUGCAAAUUUUUGGUCUGCUGUUGUUAUCUGGUUUGAUAAUAUAUCUGAGUGUCCUUUGAAGGUUUUCUAGAUGAAGCUCUUCGCUAGACCGACCAAGGUUGAUCCAGAGUCUGCGUCUGGACUAGCUGAACCUUAGGUUGGAUAUGGCAUGAGCUCAUCCACCAUGAGUGAUAUGAAAAGCGCACUUACGCUCUAUAUCCCAGGGCCUGCUUAAUUUUGGCGAUCGCUGUUGAUGCAACUUCUUCUGCCUUUGCGCCUGUAGUCUAAAUUUUCUAGAUGAGGUGAGAGAGAUGACAAUUUUCAAUUUUUUGCGGUUCUGUAAUUUGUAGAUUUGUGACCUAGUCAAUGAAGUUCAGGCAAUACAGCCAUCCCUAGCUUGACAUGGUGGCUCAGGGUAGCGGCGGUAGCUGCAGCCGGAUGUUGGGGGAGGGAGAAGGGAAAUCAUAUGAUGCCUCGGUAACUGAAAUGUUACCUUUUUGUUGAUCCACAGCGCAUGUAAACUCGCUCGCAAUGUUUCUUAUGGGGAAGUUUUUGAGUCACUAGUUUCAGAAUGAGACUCCCCCUCGCCUUUGACAACAGCCUUCCCUGUCUUAACAGCACACCUGAUGAUUUAUCGAAGCUUUCUGAUCUUUCUUGACUUAUUCAGUUUGUCCGAUCACUAGAAGAACAGCAUCAGCAGCUACAAUCAGAAGCUAUAGAUGCCUCUGCAGUGAUUGUCAUCAUAAUCAUCAUCGACUUCUUAUCAUCUCCAUUACCUGAGAGAAACUAGAAGCUGAUGCUUCAGGUGUAAGACUGGAAAAAUGAACGGGCAAUGAACAUUUUUAGACAAAGAGGUGGGAAUAUUUCCGUUGCACAGGGGCUUGUCUUGCUCGGCAUGGCGGCUCCAAAAGGCUGCAGCCAGGACAGGUUCCUUUUGAUGUGUCUGAUGAUCAGUUGCAAAUUUGAGCCUCAGUCGACUGUUAAAAGUUCGGAGCAUGGUUUCUCAAGAAUUUGUUUUUCAAAACCUCGAUCUCAAAAAUUUCAUUAGAUUUUCUGGUGAGGAGAUGAAUGAAAAAGCUACUAGAAUAAGAACAGUCUCUAUCUGUACUAUUAAGAAUAGCUUUAGUACUCAUUUCUCUCUUUCCUAAUAUUCUAACUUUGAUUUUCUGGGUAUCAAAAGUCAAAAAGUAAUCAUAUAUGCAUUACGGCAUGCCAUUUUAUGUAACCUAAACUAUGUGAGAGCACUUGGCAUGCCAUUUUAUGUAACUUAUACUACGUGUGGCAUUUCCAGAUCCUCCUGAAAAUAGAAGGGCAGUUGAAAUUAUGUUGUGCAGAUGUUUGAAAGAAGAAUUUGGAAGGCAUAGAGAGCCAUCUGCUGUUCGGCACCGUGGCUGCAGCAUGCCAGAAUGAAGGCUGUUAUGCGAUUUAAAUCAUUCCGGAACCAUGUUGACGGAUGCUGAGUUCUUUAUGCAAAUCACAAGAGUAAAAAUGAGGUUCUGCUAUUGGAGAAGCCCUCAAUCGCAGCCUUCUCCGAUUUAUAGCUGGAGCUGGUAUUUGAAAAAGAAAAUGGCUUUUGGAAUUUCACAUAUUUCUCUGGCAUGCAGAAAGAACUACAAACAGCAGCAUGAACAAGGAAGGAGAGCAAUUGUAUAUGUGUUUAUGUAGUUCAUUGAGUGUACCAUUCCACGUCAAAUGUUGGUUAACCCUUAUUGGCUUGUGAUACAUGCCGCGGGGUAUACCGGUUACAUAUAAGACUUUCUUCAAAUUUGUUGGCCCAAAAAAAUUAUUAUUUGUGAAAUGAACUUAUGAUUACCAAAAUGUUCAUUGUGGCAGCCGUGACGGGGGCUUUCUCCAGUUCCAAGAUAAAAGGAAAAUCUGAGCCUCAAUUACUUCAAGUUGUUCAUCUUUAGUGAUUUUCGAGUGAUUCGGAUUCAGUGUGGGUUGGUA